rnacentral:rRNA from 1 species
AUUGAACGCUGGCGGCAGGCCUAACACAUGCAAGUCGAGCGGAGCGGCGGACGGGUGAGUAAUGCCUAGGAAUCUGCCUGGUAGUGGGGGAUAACGUCCGGAAACGGGCGCUAAUACCGCAUACUAUCAGAUGAGCCUAGGUCGGAUUAGCUAGUUGGUGGGGUAAAGGCCUACCAAGGCGACGAUCCGUAACUGGUCUGAGAGGAUGAUCAGCAACACGGGAACGGAGACACGGUCCAGACUCCUAGGGGAGGCAGAAGUGGGGAAUGUUGAGAAAGGGGCGAAAGCCUGACCGAGCAAUGCGGGGUGAGGGAAGAAGGUUUUCGGAUGGAAAAAAACUUUAAGUUGGGAAGCGUUACCAAAAGAUAAAGCACCGGCGAACUUCGUGCCAGCAGCCGCGGGAAUUC